rnacentral:lncRNA from 1 species
CAGAGUCAAGUUUCUCCCUCCCCUCCCUCGCUACUCUCUCCUCCCUCUGCAGGCUCCGGAUCAGGCUGCCAAUCUGUAAAUGAUGUUUUAGGUUUUUCUUUGUUGUUGUUUUGGUGCUGUGAAGCCUGCCUUGUUAACACCAGGUGCUGAAAGAUUAAAACUUAUCAAUCACCAUCAUCAAGGUGAGGAGGGGUAGGAUGGUUUCAACUAGUCCCAAAUUUCCUGGAGGAAUUUGGCCUCUUGUCAAUUUCCCUCUCCCGAGGCUGACAUUGCCAGCAGAGCAAAGUCCUCUCCAGCUGCCCACUCUCAGGCUUUACUAAGUUAAAAAUCUCUUAGCUUGGGCUCUGUGCUAAGCACAAGAAAGGGACCAACAUUUCUUGACUGAUAAUAUAUUAGUUGUUUCUUGCUAUUUGACUGUGAGACUCUAAGAAUAGUAUAUUUUUCUGGAAGCAGAGUUUUAACAACCUAGAAAGCUUAAUUAAGCUUUCCUGCUGCAUUGUUUAAAUUGAAUUAGUAGCAGAAGAGUAUUUUUAGAAGUGAAAUGAUAAUUUCAUGUAACAGAUAACAUGUCUGAAUAUUCUUAAACCUCUAUAUAGGCCAAAACAUAGCGACAGAAUUGACUUCACAAGUCUAAAAGUAUGAACGGUUUGCUUUUACACACGUCAUCACUAUCAUAUCUAUUUAUUCAAUUUAUACCUUGAAUUCCUUUUUCCUAAGUACAAAGUGAGCCGGGGUUGGGAGGAGAACUUUUAAAAGCACUUUACAAAUGUGACGGGCCUGGAGUGAUUUUUCAGUUCCUGGUUUUGCCGGUCUGGGUGGGCUCACUUCCUAGCUUUCAGUCUUGUUUGGAUUUUGUUUCUUUUAUUCAGAGGAACCAGGAUAUCACUUAGUGGUGACUGCUUUGUGUAUUACUUUGGAUAGUAAAAGUACCUGAUAUGGUUUGGCUGUGUCCACACCAAAAUCUCAUCUUGAAUUGUAACUCCCACAAUUCCCACAUGUCAUGGGAGGAACCCAGUGGGAGGUGAUUGAAUCAUGGAGGCAGGUCUUUCCCAUGCUACUCUUGUGAUAAUGACUACAUCUCACGAGAUCUGAUUAUAUAAGGGGGAGUUGCCGGGCACAAGUUCUCUUCUCUUGUCUGCUGCCAUGUGAGACAUACCUUUCACCUUCCGCCAUGAUUGUGAGGCCUCUCCAGCCACGUGGAACUGUUUCAGUCCUUGAGGAGCGCUCACUAGGAUGGUAAUUGUUUGAUCGAUAGAUUAAGUGAGUUGGAAGACUCUCCAAGUGAAAAUUUAAAAUUACUGCAGUUUUGGCCUGAUGAUGUUAACCAGCAAGAACAGAAUCUGAAACCAGAUGAGCUGUUAGUACUGCUUUCAUCUGUUUUACAGCCACAGCGACAGCAGUUCCCUGGCUUCUGGAAGGAGUGUCGGUCUAUCCAAAAAAUGUACUAACAGAUAUGUAAAGUCUGUCAUCCAUUUGCAGCAAAUUUUGCCUACGGUAUGAAAUAGGAGUUCAAUUUGACAUUGAAUAUUGAUAUCUUAGCAAUAUUAUCUCCCAAUCUGUGAACACGAAAUUUCUUUAUAUUUAUUCAAAUUAUCUUUGGUUUUUAAUGAUGUUAAAUCCAAGUAUUCUUUGUGAUGCUGUUGUAAAUGGAAUUUUUUGUGUUGUUCAUUGCUAAUGUAUAAAAACCAAUGAUGUUUGUAUAUUAAUCUUGUAUCCUGCAACCUCAUUGAACUAGUUUAUUAGCUCUAGUAAUAUGUUGGUGUGAAUCCCUUAAUAUUUUCUACAUACAAGAUCAUGUCAUCUGCAAAUUGUUUUACUUCUUCCUUUCCAAUUUGGAUGCUUUUUAUUUCAUCUUGCCUACUGCUUUGGCUACAACCUCCAGUACAAGAUUGAAUAGAAGUGAUGAGACAGAACAUCCUUGUCUUAUUUGUGAUCUCUGGGGGGGAAGGCUUACAGUAUUUUGCAUCAACAUAUCAGCUACGGGUUUUUCAUAGAUGUCCUUUCUCAGGAUGAAAAAGUCCAUGUUUGGCUUUUUGAAUGUUUUCAUCUAAGAGUUUUGGAUUUUGCCAAAUGUUAAAUGCUUCUUCUGUAUGCAUUGAGAUGAUCUUGUUGUUUUUGUCCUUUAUUCUAAUAAUAUGGUGUACUACAUUGAUUUCUGUAUGUUGAAGUUUGUAUUCCUAAGAUAAAUCUCACUUGCUUAUGGUGUACAUUCCUUUCUAUAUGUUGCUGGAUUUACUUUCAUUAGUAUUUUGUUGAGGAUUUUUGCCUCUAUAUUGAGGGCUAUUGGCCUGUAGUUGUUUUCUUUGCCUGAUUUCUAAUGUGGGUGAUACUGAAUUGGGAAGGGUAUCCUCCUUCUCUGUUUUUUGGUGUUUGUGAAUAAUUGGUGGUAUUCUGUAAAUGUUUGACAGAAUUCACCAGUGAAGACAUCUGCUCCUGGACUUUUUCCCGUGGGAAGUUUGUUUUUAAGAGAUGGGAGUCUCACUCUCACCCAGGCUGGAGUGCAGUGGUGUGACAAUAGCUCACUACAGCCU